rnacentral:lncRNA from 1 species
AAAGGAAGGGGCUAGCCUAGAGGUCCCUUUGAGUUUUAUCUGUCUGUGACUUAGUAAUGGAGUUCUUGCCUCUCUGACUUCCCACUCUGUCUCUUUCCUUCUUGGCCUCAAGCUUCUGUCUUCUUCCUCCCUGCUCCCUGGUCUAUUUAGGCCUCCAAAGCAAGUUAACCAAGUUAUUCUGCCAAUGCUGCCAACAUGAAGAAGAACCUGAGAUCGUCACCAACAAGGCUCCAGAAGAAAAGAAGCCAGUGGAUAUAAAGAAGCAAUUGCCUCCAAAUUUUUACAGUAAUGAUUUUAGCUUUGCCAACCAAAAUAGGGCUAUCUACAACAGCUGCACCAUGAGGAGGAACUGAUGGUUCUAGUUAGCACCAUCAUCUGCAUCUACCUAAGAUCUCCCUAUCUUUAGGUCAGCUGAUGGCAGCUUAGAAAAUAUAUCUCUCAAGGUAAAAAAAAAUGUGUUGUAAAGCAGGAUUCAUGAAGACCAAUUCAGAAACUUCCCUAGGGGAGAAGAAAUGGUUGGAACCUUCCCUGUGGUACACACACACAAAAAAAAAAAACAACUUCAGAAAACCUACCUAGGGGGCAUCCUAUCUCUAAGGAAUGGCCACCAAUUAAAGCUGUUACAUAAUAUAAACAUGUCUGUGUA